rnacentral:rRNA from 1 species
CGCAGCCGCGGUAAUUCCAGCUCCAAUAGCGUAUAUUAAAGUUGUUGCAGUUAAAAAGCUCGUAGUUGAAUUUCGGGAUCGAAUUGUUGGUCGUGCUUCGGUACGCACUGGCAUUAUCGGUUUCUACCUUCUGAAGAACCGCGAUGUCAUUAAUUUGGUGUCGUGGGGAAUCAGGACUGUUACUUUGAAAAAAUUAGAGUGUUUAAAGCAGGCUUACGCUUGAAUACAUUAGCAUGGAAUAAUGAAAUAGGACGUUUGAUUCUAUUUUGUUGGUUUCUAGGAUCGACGUAAUGAUUAAUAGGGAUAGUUGGGGGCAUUAGUAUUCAAUUGUCAGAGGUGAAAUUCUUGGAUUUAUUGAAGACUAACUACUGCGAAAGCAUUUGCCAAGGAUGUUUUCAUUAAUCAAGAACGAAAGUUAGGGGAUCGAAGACGAUCAGAUACCGUCGUAGUCUUAACCAUAAACUAUGCCGACUAGGGAUCGGAUGAUGUAAUUUUAUAGUGACUCAUUCGGCGCCUUAAC